AUAGGCUGGAGGUGUAAGCACCGUAAGGUGUUCAGCCGACCAGUACUAAUUUACCGUGAGGCUUGACCAU
rnacentral:ncRNA from 1 species